CCAAUACUCUCUCCGUCCGGAAAUACUUGUCCUCAAAAUGGAUAAAAGGGAAAUAUUUUAGUUUUAUAUACAUCUUUUUUUAUCCAUUUUGAUGACAAGUAUUUUCGAACGGAGGGAGUACCAU
rnacentral:pre_miRNA from 1 species